AGUGAACGCUGGCGGUAGGCCUAACACAUGCAAGUCGAACGGCAGCACAGUAAGAGCUUGCUCUUACGGGUGGCGAGUGGCGGACGGGUGAGGAAUACAUCGGAAUCUACUUUUUCGUGGGGGAUAACGUAGGGAAACUUACGCUAAUACCGCAUACGACCUACGGGUGAAAGCAGUGGAUCUUCGGACCUUGCGCGAUUGAAUGAGCCGAUGUCGGAUUAGCUAGUUGGCGGGGUAAAGGCCCACCAAGGCGACGAUCCGUAGCUGGUCUGAGAGGAUGAUCAGCCACACUGGAACUGAGACACGGUCCAGACUCCUACGGGAGGCAGUAGUGGGGAAUAUUGGACAAUGGGCGCAAGCCUGAUCCAGCCAUACCGCGUGGGUGAAGAAGGCCUUCGGGUUGUAAAGCCCUUUUGUUGGGAAAGAAAAGCAGCAGGUUAAUACCCCGCUGUUCUGACGGUACCCAAAGAAUAAGCACCGGCUAACUUCGUG
rnacentral:rRNA from 1 species